rnacentral:rRNA from 1 species
GACGAACGCUGGCGGCGUGCUUAACACAUGCAAGUCGAGCGAUGAGAUCACUUCGGUGAAGGAUUAGCGGCGAACGGGUGAGGAACACGUGAAGAAUCUGCCUUCAACUCUGGGAUAACUCCGGGAAACCGGGGCUAAUACCGGAUAUGAGCCUUGAUCGCAUGAUCGGGGCUGGAAAGUUUUUCGGUUGAAGAUGACUUCGCGGCCUAUCAGCUUGUUGGUGAGGUAAUGGCUCACCAAGGCGACGACGGGUAGCCGGCCUGAGAGGGCGACCGGCCACACUGGGACUGAGACACGGCCCAGACUCCUACGGGAGGCAGCAGUGGGGAAUAUUGGGCAAUGGACGAAAGUCUGACCCAGCGACGCCGCGUGCGGGAUGAAGGCCUCGGUUGUAACCGACUUCUAGCAGGGAAUAAGCGCAAGUGAAGGUACCUGCAGAAGAAGCACCGGCUAACUAUGUG